rnacentral:rRNA from 1 species
UACGUAGGGUGCGAGCGUUAAUCGGAAUUACUGGGCGUAAAGCGUGCGCAGGCGGUUUGUUAAGACAGACGUGAAAUCCCUCGGCUUAACCGGGGAACUGCAUCUGAUACUGGAUGGCUUGAGUUUGGGAGAGGGAUGCGGAAUUCCAGGUGUAGCGGUGAAAUGCGUAGAUAUCUGGAGGAACACCGGUGGCGAAGGCGGCAUCCUGGACCAACACUGACGCUGAGGAGCGAAAGCCAGGGGAGCAAACGGG